AUACGGGGGGUGCUAGCGUUAAUCGGAAUUACUGGGCGUAAAGCGUACGGAGGCGGUUUGCUAAGUCAGAUGUGAAAGCCCCGGGCUUAACCUGGGAACUGCAUUUGAUACUGGCAGACUAGAGUAUGAUAGAGGGGGGUAGAAUUCCUGGUGUAGCGGUGAAAUGCGUAGAUAUCAGGAGGAAUACCAGUGGCGAAGGCGGCCCCCUGGAUCAAUACUGACGCUGAGGUACGAAAGCGAGGGGAGCGAACAGGAUUAGAUACCCUAGUAGUCC
rnacentral:rRNA from 1 species